rnacentral:misc_RNA from 1 species
AGCCACCAACACCAAGUUUGACUGCAAAAUUGUGAUGUAUGAGUUAACAUAGAAUAAAAGAGUUUACAAAGCAUCAACAUGGUAAUGAGAAGCACCGUUGAUAGUUGACAUAGAGACUUGUUACAAAAUACACGAGAAAAGAAACAGACAUUAAUCAGAGUCCAAAAAGUAUCUAAGCAAUUAAAGAACACAUUCUUCACAGGCA